rnacentral:rRNA from 1 species
GAUGAACGCUGGCGGCGUGCCUAAUACACGCAAGUCGAGCGAAUGGAUUAAGAGCUUGCUCUUAUGAAGUUAGCGGCGGACGGGUGAGUAACACGUGGGUAACCUGCCCAUAAGACCGGGAUAACUCCGGGAAACCGGGGCUAAUACCGGAUAACAUUUUGAACCGCAUGGUUCGAAAUUGAAAGGCGGCUUCGGCUGUCACUUCUGGAUGGACCCGCGUCGCAUUAGCUAGUUGGUGAGGUAACGGCUCACCAAGGCAACGAUGCGUAGCCGACCUGAGAGGGUGAUCGGCCACACUGGGACUGAGACACGGCCCAGACUCCUACGGGAGGCAGCAGUAGGGAAUCUUCCGCAAUGGACGAAAGUCUGACGGAGCAACGCCGCGUGAGUGAUGAAGGCUUUCGGGUCGUAAAACUCUGUUGUUAGGGAAGAACAAGUGCUAGUUGAAUAAGCUGGCACCUUGACGGUACCUAACCAGAAAGCCACGGCUAACUACGUGCCAGCAGCCGCCGUAA